rnacentral:lncRNA from 1 species
CGCGAGCACGCCCUUGCCUUUGUCAGCUAAUUGGCCGGGCUUUCUCAUCUAUUAUGUAAAUAGCCCCGGUCUCUGCGGCGCGGUGUCGUAACGCUCCGCAUUCCUGGGAGCCUGCGCUCCCGGUUCAUGGAAUUGUGCUCCCGGCCCCGGGCGAAAACAGCAGCAACAACAACAACAAAAAGCAGGCGAGCCUUUGGCUGGGCUUUGGGAGGCUCCAGAAGAAAGUGUUCCGGGCAGGAGUUCAGGGCAUGGACAGCGGGAGGAGGAGACAGCGGGAAAAGCUGGAUAAUCCUGGCCUUGCGUCACCUCCCGCGGCCCCACGUGCACAGCUUAAAAUCCAUCGGGGAUUGUCUGAAAAGCUUUGAUGAGGUGCCUUUAAUUGGGCUUGGAGUUCUGGAGGCAUUACCUCGGAUAAAGGUGAGGGAAUUGCACAAAGAGGUGGGAAAAAUUAUUUUGGAUUAAAAUUUGACUCCUCUUUUUCACUUUUCCCACAGCUUGGUGGUGCUGUGUGAGGAUUUCCCUUUAUUCCAAGGGAAAUUCCCCAUUAUCUUCCCCAAAAAAAAACAUUUGGAAAGCCAAAAUCAUGGAAUAACGGAAUUGUUUUAGUUGGAAAAGCCCUGACCGCCACCUUGUCCCUGAUGUAGGGACAGGUUUGGGCUCAGGAAUUUUCUCUAAUAUUCCUUGGAAAGGUUUGUGUUGAAAAAAUUGGGAAAUGGAGGAGGUGUUCACAAAUGUGAACAAUGGGGGGGUGGCUGGAAGUGAGUUAAGAGCUGUAAUUUUUAAAAAACAAUAUUCUCACAUGUAAUUUUAUCUUAAAAAUGGGACAGGAACCAUUUCUGGGUGAUCGCAAUGAGAAAAAAAAUGAUCUUAAUUAAUUCAAAUAUUAUUUCAAAUUUUCUUUUAAUUGGAAAAUUAAGCCCAGAAAAUCCCAGUGCUUUGACCUUCAAGGGUUAUUUCAAUAAACCUGAUUUUGGCCAAAAGUUGAGGUGAAAU